AUUGAACGCUGGCGGCAGGCCUAACACAUGUAAGUCGAACGAGUGGCGGACGGGUGAGUAAUGUCUGGGAAACUGCCUGAUGUAGGGGGAUAACUACUGGAAACGGUAGCUAAUACCGCAUACCAUCAGAUGUGCCCAGAUGGGCUUAGCUAGUUGGUGGGGUAACGGCUCACCAAGGCGACGAUCCCUAGCUGGUCUGAGAGGAUGACCAGCAACACGGGGACUGAGACACGGUCCAGACUCCUACGGGAGGCAGCAGUGGGGAAUAGUGCACAAUGGGCGAAAGCCUGAUGCAGCCAUGCCGCGUGUAUGAAGAAGGCCUUCGGGUUGUAAAGUACUUGCAGGGGGGAGGCGUUACCCAAAGAAGAAGCACCGGCUAACUCCGGGCCAGCAGCCGCGGUAAUUC
rnacentral:rRNA from 1 species